UCGUAACAAGGUCUCCGUUGGUGAACCAGCGGAGGGAUCAUUACAGAGUUUUUCAACUCCCAACCCUUGCGAACCGUACCCCGUUCUGUUCUCGUUGCUUCUGGCGGGAGGGGAGGGGCGCGUCCUUCGGGGCGCUGCCUCUCUCUCCCAGGUCCCUUCGGGGCGCCCGCCAGCGGCCGCGAGCCGCCUGAACCUUUUCUAAACCAGUAACGAAACGUCUGAGAAACAAACAAAAACAGCCAAAACUUUCAACAACGGAUCUCUUGGCUCUGGCAUCGAUGAAGAACGCAGCGAAAUGCGAUACGUAAUGCGAAUUGCAGAAUUCAGCGAGUCAUCGAAUCUUUGAACGCACAUUGCGCCCGCCAGCAUUCUGGCGGGCAUGCCUGUCCGAGCGUCAUUUCCCCCCUCAGCAUGCCCUUUUUGGGUGCGCUGGCGUUGGGGCUCCUCCGCCCUCUGCGGCGGCAGGGCCCUCAAAACCAGUGGCGGGCCCGCCUGGUUGGCUCCGAGCGCAGUACCGAACGCAAGUUCUCUCUCUCGCUCUGCAGCCCCGGUCGGUGCCCAGCCGUCAAGCCGCGCAGGCGGCCCUGCUUGCAGGACCGCCUCGCACUUUUUCACAAGGUUGACCUCGGAUCAGGUAGGAUUACCCGCUGAACCUAAGCAUAUCA
rnacentral:misc_RNA from 1 species